GGGAAUAAAAUGGAUUAAAAUGCUGGAUUCCAAAGCCAGAGGACCUGGGUUCAAAUCCCUAUCCCA
rnacentral:tRNA from 1 species